UGGGGAAUUUUGGACAAUGGGCGAAAGCCUGAUCCAGCAAUGCCGCGUGUGUGAAGAAGGCCUUCGGGUUGUAAAGCACUUUUGUCCGGAAAGAAAUGGCUCUGGUUAAUACCUGGGGUCGAUGACGGUACCGGAAGAAUAAGGACCGGCUAACUAAGUGCCAGCAGCCGCGGUAAUACGUAGGGUCCAAGCGUUAAUCGGAAUUACUGGGCGUAAAGCGUGCGCAGGCGGUUGUGCAAGACCGAUGUGAAAUCCCCGAGCUUAACUUGGGAAUUGCAUUGGUGACUGCACGGCUAGAGUGUGUCAGAGGGGGGUAGAAUUCCACGUGUAGCAGUGAAAUGCGUAGAGAUGUGGAGGAAUACCGAUGGCGAAGGCAGCCCCCUGGGAUAACACUGACGCUCAUGCACGAAAGCGUGGGGAGCAAACAGG
rnacentral:rRNA from 1 species